GAUGAAGAACGUAGUGAAAUGCGAUAAGUAAUGUGAAUUGCAGAAUUCAGUGAAUCAUCGAAUCUUUGAACGCACAUUGCGCCCGCCAGUAUUCUGGCGGGCAUGCCUGUCUGAGCGUCAUUUCAACCCUCAAGCAACUUCUGCUUGGUGUUGGGGAUCGGCCGUCAAACGCCGCCCCCGAAAUCUAUUGGCGAUCUCGCUGUAGCUUCCUAUGCGUAGUAGUAACAUCUCGCAUCUGGAGAGCGGAGCGGUCAUGCCGUAAAACACCCAACUUCUCAGGUUGACCUCAGAUCAGGUAGGAAUACCCGCUGAACUUAAGCAUAUCAAUAAGCGGAGGA
rnacentral:misc_RNA from 1 species